AUUGUUUACAGGGGCGAAUCACGCCGAAUGCUCCGUAAAAAAUUGAUAGAGAUGGAAUUCACGGCACAAAUAGUUUACAAAAUGUUUAGAUUGAGGCUAUAAAAAUGGAUUUUAUCAAAGAAAACGGCACUUCAUUUGAUCAAUGGGAUACUCAGGAAGAGAAAUAAGAGCAAGAUAUCAGAAUAGAGCGAGCUGAUCAAGGGUUCGAAAAUGUAGAUAUUGCCAGAUGUUCACUGUCCGAGGAACAGGCCUUGGAAGCUUUAUUGCUGACAAAAGUGUCCAUAACCAGAGCUGUGUUGGUGAACACCUCCCACAUCUGAACUGGCUGACACAGAGGGCACAGCAUAACCAUAGGUAUGUUUUGAUAUGAGAUAGAAAGCCAGUCCCGUCAUUGCCACCUCAACCGCUCUUAAGAUAACCUUCGGGCCAACUGGGGGCCCAAGGCUGGUUAGGAGACACCGCUAGAGUCACUGUAAUUGUGAUGAACUGAGAGAAUAUUAGGGUAGCACUGUAAUUCAUUAAUCAUAUGCCUCUGUUCUUACCUCUUUCCCUUUCUGUCUUCUACACCUCUCACCCCACCUCAUCUUUCUUCC
ensembl:lncRNA